rnacentral:rRNA from 1 species
AGCGAACGCUGGCGGUAGGCUUAACACAUGCAAGUCGAACGCCCCGCAAGGGGAGUGGCAGACGGGUGAGUAACACGUGGGAACGUACCCUUUGGUUCGGAAUAACUUGGGGAAACUCAAGCUAAUACCGGAUAAGCCCUUAUGGGGAAAGGUUUACUGCCGAAGGAUCGGCCCGCGUCUGAUUAGCUAGUUGGCGAGGUAAUGGCUCACCAAGGCGACGAUCAGUAGCUGGUCUGAGAGGAUGAUCAGCCACACUGGGACUGAGACACGGCCCAGACUCCUACGGGAGGCAGCAGUGGGGAAUAUUGGACAAUGGGGGCAACCCUGAUCCAGCCAUGCCGCGUGAGUGAUGAAGGCCUUAGGGUUGUAAAGCUCUUUUACCCGGGACGAUAAUGACUGUACCGGGAGAAUAAGCCCCGGCUAACUUCGUGCCAGCAGCCGCGGUAA